rnacentral:misc_RNA from 1 species
AACGCACCUUGCACCCUCUGGCAUUCCGGAGGGUAUGCCUGUUUGAGUGUCAUUAAUCUCUCAACACAAGGAACUUUGUUUCUUGUGCUUGGAUAUUGAAGGGUUUGCUGGCGCAAACAACUGUCAGCUCCUUUUAAACAUAUUAGCAGAGCAUGCAGGACUGGCCUCAGUUUGAUAAGAAAUUUUUAUCUAUGCUGUCGCUGGGUUUUUCCUCUUUGUGCUCAGCUUCAAAUUGUCUUCGGACUGUCUCUUGAGGCAACAAAAACUUUAUUGAUCGACCUCAAAUCAGGUAGGACUACCCGCUGAACUUAA